GAGGUUGAUGUCAGUCGGGUCGGCCACGGAUACUGUGCACCUAACUGGGAGUUGCGGUGUAACCCGGGGAGAGUUACGGUGUAUCCCGGCGAGGUCGCGCCGCGUCUGGGUGCAGUCGCAGAACGGUCCCGGCAUGGCGCCGGGCGAGGAGCCUCUGUCCGCCGACACCAGUGGCGCCAACCUGACCCGCAGCCUGGAGAAGGCGCUGGACGAGGCAGCGGGCACUGGCAUCUUGAACCUCAGCAACAGGAAGCUGCGGGAGUUCCCCCGGGCCGCCAGCAACUAUGACCUGUCCGACGUGAUCCAGGCCGACCUAUCGAAGAACAGGCUGUCGGAGGUUCCGGACGAAGUGUGCCUUUACGUGUCGCUGGAGCUGCUCAACCUCUAUCACAACUGUGUGCGGACCAUCCCCUCCUCCAUUACCAACCUCCAGUCACUCACCUACCUCAACGUCAGUCGCUGUCAGCUCUGUGCCUUGCCCGCGUACCUGUGCUGCUUACCCCUGAAGGUGCUCAUCGCCAGCAACAACAAACUCUCCUCGCUGCCCACCGACAUUGGCUGCUUCCGGCAGCUCAGGGAGCUGGACGUGAGCUGUAACGAGAUCCAGAGGCUCCCUCCAGAGAUCGGGAACCUGGAGUCACUGCGGGACCUGAACGUAAGAAGGAACCAGCUGGACCGACUACCAGAGGAAAUCGCAGAGCUGCCCCUUGUUCGACUUGAUUUCUCCUGUAAUAAGGUCACACACAUUCCUGUUUGCUACCGACACCUUCGGCAUCUGCAGACGAUCUUACUAGACAACAACCCGUUACAGUCCCCACCUGCACAGGUCUGCACUAAAGGAAAGAUCCAUAUAUUUAAAUACUUGAACAUCGAAGCAUGUAAAAUUGUGCCGGACCUGUCCGAUUUGGAUCGAGCCAUGCGCCCCCCAGGUUUCAGCUCCAGCCUGUCGGAUGAGAUUUGCCCCAGUCGUCAGCCCAGUGGCCUGGACUCGGGAUUCCACAGCGUGGACAGCGGCAGCAAGCGGUGGUCUGGCAACGAGUUGACGGACGAGUUUUCGGACCUGUCCCUGCGGAUGGGGGAGUUUUCCCGGGAGCAAAGACUGCUGAGGGAGAGCCAGCCCACCCGCCGCAUGGAAAAUGGCACAACAGGGGACCAGGACUUCGACUUCAUCAUCGACAGCAGUUUGAAUGGAGAGGGGGAGGAGGUGAGACGAGAUCAGUCCACCCCACGAAACUGCCACACGCACACACACCAGGACCAGGACAAGGUGCUGAGCCAGAACAGCCCGGACAAAGGGCCGAGUGAGGAGUGGUCUGGAGCCCGGACCGAGGGGUCCCGGGACGGUGAGGAGCGGCGGAGACCAGAGACCCUGCAGAUCUGGCAGGAGCGGGAGAAGCAAAACCAACACCGGCCCGCUGAGCGCCACGACAGGGGGGCAAGUAUCAGCUCCACGGGGAAACUCUCCACCACACAGAGUGAGCUUGGCAGCAGAACCAGCACUGGAGGCUUCAUCAGAACCAGCACAGAACCCCCAUCUCCGCGGAAGGCUGAUGUACAGUUAUACACGGAUGCCUGGAGCGCGGUGACACCAGCCAGUCGACCAGACGGUGAUCGAGCCCCCCAGCCCAGCUCUGACACCCCAACCAGUGAGUCGGGAGCCCUGCAUAAACCCAGCAGCUUCCUCUUCCGAUCGUCAACACGCACUAACCUAAGGUCCAGCUCAGCCAUGAGCCCUGUCUCCCCGGUGAGCCCCACCCAAAUAUUUCCAGAGCCACCCCUGGACACGAAGCCAGUGGGGAGGUUGCGCAGCCCGGAACAGGCGGCGAAUGAGGAAGAGCAGAUCGCUCAGCUACGCAAGAGCAUUGAGUCGCGGUUAAAACAAACACUGCCCGAGGACCUGGGAGAGGCGUUGAACAAUGGUGUGAUGCUCUGUCAGCUGGUGAACCACCUCCGGCCUCGAUUCAUCUCCAUCAUUCAUAUUCCGUCCCCUGCGGUGCCAAAGCUGAGCCUGGCGAAGAGCAGGAGGAAUGUGGAGAGUUUUCUGGAAGCAUGCCGGAAGAUGGGAGUCCCCCAGCUCGAUCUCUGCUUGCCGUCCGACAUUAUGCAGGGCCGGGUGUCCCGGCUCCGAAGGACGGUGCGGGAGCUGCUGGAACGGGCCGAGGCGGCGCCGCACUGCCCGAAGCACCAUCUCGCCGGCUUCUCCGUCUUCUACGUCUGCCUCAUGUUGCUGCUUUACCUGGCCUACCGUCACGUCCCGACCUUCUAGUGGGGUGGGGCAGUACUGGGAGGUGUCUAGAAAUGAACCGGGCGGGGUGAGACCGGGCCUUGAGGUGGAAGGUGGCGUCUCCUAGCCUGGGAGUCCUCACUGUCCCGAGGGUGGAUUCACUGGGUGUUGUGGAUCCUGGGAAGGAGCGUGUCUCCAGGUGGGAUCCCGGUAGUUAGAGUUACGGGUUCAGAGCUGUCCCGGGGGAUCGGCUGUAACUAGGUCCUGAGUGUCUGGGACGUCAGCCCUAUCUCCCCCCCCUCGGGAUCAGGUGUAAUUUAUUCUGUGGAGGGGGGAGGUGCUCCCCGGGGUCAAACCCUGUAGUGUACAGAGUAUAUGUACAGUCGGUGCCGGUGGUGCCUUAAUAAAGAUGCGAAUGUGUAGCCACUGACUGCUGUCGUUGUGGAGGGGAGGGGAGGGACAGGUCUGUCCGCAAGCUGUCUGUCCUGUCCGCUGUCUGUGUCGCCUCACACUGUCCUCGAGCACCGGCCGCCCCGGGAGAAACGAGGGUUUAGGGGGAGGUGCGGUGAUACCUGAAGGGGAGGGGGAGAUGGCGUUGAGUUGGAGGGGGUUAGUUUUAGAAAGCAGCGGUUCUGCGCUUCGGACACAGACAUCCGCCCUUGCGCCCCCGCCCGCUUCGGACACAGACAUCCGCCCUUGCGCCCCCGCCCACUUCGGACAGUGGCCCUGGGUCCCAGGCUGAUGGCGGUGCCAGCGGGCGGUCAUGGUUUUGUUCCAGACGGGAAGCCCAGACCGCGCGGAUCCUGGAGAGAGACGCAGCUUCUGAUGGAUUCAGGACAUACUUUGCGAGUCCCAGCACAUCCUGGAGGAGGACGGGCUGCUGCGGGUGGCGGAGACUGUGCGGCACUUGGAGCUGGCGGCGCGGCGCAAACCGGUGCGGCUGGCAGAGGGAGAGUGAGGAGGCCGGUGGCAGAGCCCGGUACGGGCCCGGAGCACCCGACUAUAACGUUUAUGCCUUCCGCAUCAUCCACCACGAGGUCUGAUGUCCCGGGACAGCUCUCUCACAGACUUGGUCACGUCAUAGACGGGAGUCCGUUCUGUUAUCGAGUUCGUACUAUCUCUGCAAGAACAGUUCAUGUGCCCUCUCCCCAAGACACUGAAAGCGCCUUGAGAUGAUCACGCAGCUUUUCGCAAGUGAAUCUGCCCCAACAUCCCCUCAUUUUACUUGCGGCGUUUAAAGGGAACAUUUCUCUCUCUUUGGGGACCUUCCAAUUCCGACCUCUUUCGUUCCAUUUCCUUGUCCGCCAGUUGUAACGUUAUUGUUGCCUUGACAACUUUGGACCAUAACCUGUAACAGGCACCCCCUGUAUAACACGCGCAUUUCUCGCUCUGUCAAAUCUCAGAAAAAGUCCUUGACCUGAACGAUUGACAGUGUCUCCCUCUCCUCAGACCUUACCCGGCCUGCUGCUUGCCGUACGUACUUUCGAGAUUCCGGCAUCAACCCUGUCGGAGUCUCCCGUGGAAACAGUCCCCCUCGCAUCCAGGUCCCCUCGUACCACAAUUCUAAAUACAAACUCCAGAAAUAAUGUCCCCAUUCCUGGAAUUAUUUUGGUAAAUCUCUUCUGAGCUCUCUCCAAAGGCGUCACGUCCUUGCUAACGUGUGGUUCCCAGAACCAGCCACAGGGCUCUAUCUUCUUAUCCAGAGCUAAUCCAUAGUCUACAGUGUUGUGGACGGGUUCACGCUGUGCCUCUUCAUAAAACUAGGACACAGUCUACAUUUAGCCCCCACGUCCCUGUCUCAAGCUGCCUUCAGCAUUGAACAAACACCCUCACCCUUCCGUCACUAUCGCCACUGCUUUCUCCCUCCUCUUCCCCCCCGCCCCCAAAAACACAUAUGGAACACCUACGAGGGACUGUUCACGUCAAGCUAGUUUCCUGUAACUGCAGUUGGGGUGGGGAUAGACCCCUCUCCCACAGCCUGGACGAACAGGCAAGUUUACCCCACCCACCAACUCGACGUGAGGUUAUAGUGACCGUUGGUGAGAUUCUGUUCCGCACUAAGCUCCUGCUUAUCUGGGCUGUGACGUCCCAACGUGGCGAACGGGAACUGCCCUCCGUGAUUGUUACGGAUUCGCACGGAUGGUGCUCAUACUGACCGUCCCUCCACAGUCUGCCCCCCACCCUCGCGGUCGGCACAGAUCAGCCAAUCACAUUAAUUAACAGUCAGGACUUCCCAUGUGGCUGACGCAACGAGCACUGUGAUAGGUGAUUGCUCCCGCACUCUCCGCCCAAUGAACCCCUUCUCAGUAAUAUUCGUCGCCCAUUGGAUCAACUGCCAUUCACACUGUUAGCCGAUUGGUUCCCCUCCCAUUCGUGCUGUUGGCUAAUUGCCAAUGGCACCGGGGCCGAGAUCGUGGGCGCCUGUCUCCCUGCAGAAUGGGUAUUCUCCAUUUACCCCUGUCCCCAAAACACAUUAACAACUCCUCCUAACCAGGAGUUUAUUGACAAAGCGUUUACACUGGCAUCCAGCAGACAGCGGGCGUGGUUGCCCACGGCCAAUUCCUUCACAACCAGUCUACUCUCAGCUGUAGGAGACGGUGCCACUUUGCAGUCGCCUGCUCUCCAGUACCGGGGUCGCAUAUCAUUUCACCUGCGGUCUGAACGUGGUAAAGGACAGAGGGAGACUGAUACGGGAAUAUCCCUGGCUAUGCAGCUAGCUAAACAGAGCGACUGCGUAGCAUAGGAUAAGUGUGUCCAGCAUAGCCAUGGUGGGCCGAACGGCCUGCUUUCAUACUCUGACACCACACUGUGAACAUUCAUUCAACCAGAGGCGAAAAUGAAUCCGUACACAAACCGGGCGUCGCCUCCCAUCAGCCGGCCGAGGGCAGAUUGCUGGAGACUUGCUGCCAGCCUGCGCCCCUCCCCAGUCCCACCCAGCAGGGUGACGGACAGUCUGAUUGUCCAGCGAACGGACACGGCUCGGCCAAGCAUCCCGGGACCCGGCGCCUGUGGCCAUACGUUGAGGGUCAGAUGGUGGAGUUUAUGGCCGAGGUGGGCGAGUCCAGCUCGUGUCGGAAGGAAACUCUUGCUUUCUCGCUGAAGUAAGCACCGUAACCAAGAUUGCGGCCGCCAGCCCCUGGCUUGAUCGGGUGCACUGACUCCAGUGGGGAUACAGGACCUGAGCGGAGCGGAAAUCACACAGGAUUAACCCAGGACACAUUCUGCACAGAUGUGUCCUCAUAAUCCUACCCCUUCCCUCGCCGUGCAUAGUACACCCGCCCCCCCCCCCCCCCC